rnacentral:rRNA from 1 species
UACGUAGGGGGGCAAGCGUUGUCCGGAAUCAUUGGGCGUAAAGCGCGUGUAGGCGGCUCGGUAAGUCCGCUCUGAAAGUCCAGGGCUCAACCCUGGGAUGCGGGUGGAUACUGCCGGGCUCGAGUCCGGAAGAGGCGAGUGGAAUUCCCGGUGUAGCGGUGAAAUGCGCAGAUAUCGGGAGGAACACCAAUGGCGAAGGCAGCUCGCUGGGACGUGACUGACGCUGAGACGCGAAAGCGUGGGGAGCAACAGG